rnacentral:rRNA from 1 species
ACCCGUGUUUAUCGUACCUUGUUGCUUCGGCGGGCCCGCCUCACGGCCGCCGGGGGGCAUCCGCCCCCGGGCCCGCGCCCGCCGAAGACACACAAACGAACUCUUGUCUGAAGAUUGCAGUCUGAGUACUUGACUAAAUCAGUUAAAACUUUCAACAACGGAUCUCUUGGUUCCGGCAUCGAUGAAGAACGCAGCGAAAUGCGAUAAGUAAUGUGAAUUGCAGAAUUCAGUGAAUCAUCGAGUCUUUGAACGCACAUUGCGCCCCCUGGUAUUCCGGGGGGCAUGCCUGUCCGAGCGUCAUUGCUGCCCUCAAGCACGGCUUGUGUGUUGGGCUCUCGCCCCCCGCUUCCGGGGGGCGGGCCCGAAAGGCAGCGGCGGCACCGCGUCCGGUCCUCGAGCGUAUGGGGCUUCGUCACCCGCUCUGUAGGCCCGGCCGGCGCCCGCCGGCGAACACCAUCAAUCUUAACCAGGUUGACCUCGGAUCAGGUAGGGAUACCCGCUGAACUUAAGC